rnacentral:lncRNA from 1 species
GCCAGGAGGGCGGGGCGGGAGUGGUGAGGAAGGGUCGGGCUCGCGGCCGGUGCUCCCGCGGGCUUGGCGGGCGGGGCGUGGGCGCGCUCCCGGGUCCAGCCCCGGUGCUGGUGCAGGCCGGGGCUGCCCCGACCGGGGUCUCUCCCGGAAGUCGGGGCGCGCAGUGCUGCAGCGGGGGUGGCAAGACCCUGGGGUCUGCCCUCAGCGCUGGGGCGCCUCUGCAGCCUGAGCCUGUUCUCUGGGGGCCCUGCUGCUCCCACCUGCGCGCGCACCUGGCGUGCUGUUCCGGGUGUGCAGGUGGUACCGAGGUACGCGUGUUCAAGGGUGUGGUCUGAGGUGGGUGGUGCUCAAGGUGAAACGCGUGGCUGUAGUUGUCGGUGGACACAAUACGAUGUGGGUUAUGGGUUCCUUUAGGGCGCCCAGGGGGAACCCCGGGCCUCCCACGCGCUGGGGGAGCGCUGCACCCUGAGCCCAGCCGCAGCCCGGGUCUGGUUCUUGAGGUGGGUGUGUGGUGUUCUAGGUAUGCGGGUGCUUGAGUCGUUUUGUCUCAGGAGUGUGUGUGAUGGAGGUGUGUUUGUGGGUCGUGAGGAGGGUGUUGUACUCGAGGUGUGUAUAGUGUGUGUGGUGCUUGGGGUGUGCAUGGUGCUCGAGGUAUCUGGUGCUGUGUGUUGGUGGUGCAUGAGAUGUGUGUGGUGUGCGAGGUGUGUGGUUUAGGUGUGAGUGCGGCUUGAGGUGUGUGGUGUUCAGGGUGUGUGUGGUGAUUCAGGUGUUCUUUAGGUGCGUGUGUGGUGUUUGAGGUGUAUGAGAGAUGUUUGAAGUGGUGUAUUGCUUGAGGGUGGUUGUUUUGCUUGUAUGUGUGGUGUUUGAGGUGUGUGGGUGGUGUUCAAGUUGUGUGGUGCUCCAGGUGUUUGGUGUUUGAGGUGUGUGUGUGGAGUUUGAGGUGUGUCUGUGGUACUUGAAUGGUAUGUGUAUGGUGUUUGAGGUGUGUGUCUGGUGUUCCAGGUGUCUGUGUGGCAUUCCAGGUGUGUUUGUGUUCCAGGUGGAUUUGGUGUUCUAGGUGUGUGGGGUCCAGGUGUGUUUGGGGUCCAGGUGUGUGUGGUGCUAGAGGUAGGAGUACUGUGUGGGGUCCUUUCCUCCUCUGACUCAGGUUUCACCUCUGGAGGAUCCUGUCUGGAAGGUGUCCCUCCCUGAAUUGCUGAGGACUUCACCUUUUCAGCCUCCUGUUUAACUGUUUCAGAGGUGGCAAGAUGGGUGCUUACUCAGUCUCCCUUAACACCUGGAGGUAGUGUAGUCCCUGCCCCUCUAGGGCUGCGUGUGCUGAGGGAUUGGUCUCCUAUGCAGUGGUAUUCUGAGGUGGCUUUUGGGAAGUGAUUGGCUGUGAAGGUGCCAACUUGUAGUGAGGUGCCCCUUUGUGCUGCUGAACUGCCGCUGAGCCAUAACCCCAGUACCCACCCCACCCCCGUGUAUUUUAAAACUGACAUUUUUUUCCUUCCUCUUCUCCCUCCAACUCAGGAAGGCAAGGUUAGCCUUCCCAUCCUAGGCUGAGUUACCUAUUCUUCAGCUUACUGACCACAGAAAUGAAGGAAUCCAGACUUCAGGGCUGGCACGGAGGAUCUGAGAACAAGUCUCCAAGGCCACAUGUGAAUGAUGUCCUGAAGGGCACACCUGGAGCUUACUUUUCCCAUCCCCUCUUUAAUAGCCCACCAUUUCCUGGCAGUGAGAGUCACAGCAUCUGGGACAGGAGACCCCUCUGUGUUCUUCUUUGUUCUUUCCUUUGAAAACAAAACAAAACAAAAAAAAAAAAAUAAAAACAAUUUUAAAAAAUUAAAACUUUUUUUUUAUUUGAAAAAAAAAAUAAAACUUUUUUCCUUUUCCUCAAAACUGUGUCCAGC